rnacentral:lncRNA from 1 species
AUGGGCAGCGGAGCGUCUGUCAGUGAGGAGCCCCGGCUGGACACGCUGGAAGCCCGGGAGGCGGAGCCCGGAGACACCUGGGCCUCCACACCUGCAGAAGGGAGCAACGACACCCUGCAGGCAGAUUUGAAGGAAGGCAAAGCUGAGAGUCACACUGUGGACGCCCAGUCUGUGAAGAGUGAUGGAGGAACCAGCAAAGAGAUGGAGGAGGAGGAAGCAGCCCAGCCGGUGGUGGAUCCAGCUGUGACUGAAACUGCAGCAGAAGGGGAAGAAGUGUCUCUGCACUUCGAGAGUUUCCUCCAUGAAAACGGGAUGCUGUACAGCUGCUUCAGUCACCAUGGAAACAGAGUUUACAUGGACGCGUCUCAGAAACUGCAGCCGUUUCCAAAGGAGUGGUACAAUCAGGGACACUUCAUCGCCACACGCAGUGAGGGCUCUGGUCAGCUGCAGACUCACGGCAGCAGCCAGUCGACGGUCUGGGAGGACGACCGCACCGGCAGCAUCUACAUCCAGGGCAGAGGAACCGUCAUGACCUACAGGUUUGUGGUGAGAUGA